rnacentral:rRNA from 1 species
GACGUAGGGCGCGAGCGUUGUCCGGAAUUACUGGGCGUAAAGGGCGCGUAGGCGGUACUUCAAGUCAGGCGUGAAAGCCCCGGGCUCAACCUGGGAACCGCGCUUGAGACUGGAGAACUAGAGUUCGGGAGAGGAUGGUGGAAUUCCCAGUGUAGAGGUGAAAUUCGUAGAUAUUGGGAAGAACACCGAUGGCGAAGGCAGCCAUCUGGACCGACACUGACGCUGAGGCGCGAAAGCGUGGGGAGCAAACAGG